UACGUAGGGUGCAAGCGUUGUCCGGAAUUAUUGGGCGUGAAGAGCUCGUAGGCGGUCUGUCGCGUCGGCUGUGAAAACUCGGGGCUCAACUCCGAGCUUGCAGUCGAUACGGGCAGGCUAGAGUUCGGCAGGGGAGACUGGAAUUCCUGGUGUAGCGGUGAAAUGCGCAGAUAUCAGGAGGAACACCGGUGGCGAAGGCGGGUCUCUGGGCCGAUACUGACGCUGAGGAGCGAAAGCGUGGGGAGCGAACAGG
rnacentral:rRNA from 1 species